GACGAACGCUGGCCGCGUGCUUAACACAUGCAAGUCGAACGGAAAGGCCCUGCUUUUGUGGGGUGCUCGAGUGGCGAACGGGUGAGUAACACGUGAGUAACCUGCCCUUGACUUUGGGAUAACUUCAGGAAACUGGGGCUAAUACCGGAUAGGAGCUCCUGCUGCAUGGUGUGGGUUGGAAAGUUUCGGCGGUUGGGGAUGGACUCGCGGCUUAUCAGCUUGUUGGUGGGGUAGUGGCUUACCAAGGCUUUGACGGGUAGCCGGCCUGAGAGGGUGACCGGCCACAUUGGGACUGAGAUACGGCCCAGACUGCUACGGGAGGCAGCAGUGGGGAAUAUUGCACAAUGGGCGGAAGCCUGAUGCAGCAACGCCGCGUGCGGGAUGACGGCCUUCGGGUUGUAAACCGCUUUCGCCUGUGACGAAGCGUGAGUGACGGUAAUGGGUAAAGAAGCACCGGCUAACUACGUG
rnacentral:rRNA from 1 species